rnacentral:rRNA from 1 species
UUAUUGGGCGUAAGAGCUCGUAGGCGGUUUGUCGCGUCUGCCGUGAAAGUCCGGGGCUUAACUCCGGAUCUGCGGUGGGUACGGGCAGACUAGAGUGCAGUAGGGGAGACUGGAAUUCCUGGUGUAGCGGUGAAAUGCGCAGAUAUCAGGAGGAACACCGAUGGCGAAGGCAGGUCUCUGGGCUGUAACUGACGCUGAGGAGCGAAAGCAUGGGGAGCGAACAGGAUUAGAUACCCUGGUAGUCCAUGCCGUAAACGUUGGGCACUAGGUGUGGGGGACAUUCCACGUUUUCCGCGCCGUAGCUAACGCAUUAAGUGCCCCGCCUGGGGAGUACGGCCGCAAGGCUAAAACUCAAAGGAAUUGACGGGGGCCCGCACAAGCGGCGGAGCAUGCGGAUUAAUUCGAUGCAACGCGAAGAACCUUACCAAGGCUUGACAUGAACCGGAAUGAUGCAGAGAUGUGUCAGCCACUUGUGGCCGGUUUACAGGUGGUGCAUGGUUGUCGUCAGCUCGUGUCGUGAGAUGUUGGGUUAAGUCCCGCAACGAGCGCAACCCUCGUUCCAUGUUGCCAGCGGGUUAUGCCGGGGACUCAUGGGAGACUGCCGGGGUCAACUCGGAGGAAGGUGGGGACGACGUCAAAUCAUCAUGCCCCUUAUGUCUUGGGCUUCACGCAUGCUACAAUGGCCGGUACAAAGGGUUGCGAUACUGUGAGGUGGAGCUAAUCCCAAAAAGCCGGUCUCAGUUCGGAUUGAGGUCUGCAACUCGACCUCAUGAAGUUGGAGUCGCUAGUAAUCGCAGAUCAGCAACGCUGCGGUGAAUACGUUCCCGGGCCUUGUACACACCGCCCGUCAAGUCACGAAAGUUGGUAACACCCGAAGCCGGUGGCCUAACCCCUUGUGGGAGGGAGCCGUCGAAGUGGGACCGGC